rnacentral:siRNA from 1 species
UGAGUCAAUUUCAGGAGUUCU